rnacentral:rRNA from 1 species
UGCUUAUUAGCUAGCCCAACCCCCACAAUUCAACCAACAAAUAUAACUUAAACAGGAAGGCACCAAACAGAUAUUUAAUCAAACCAUUUUUCCCCCUAAGUCUAGGCGAUAAAAAAG